UCUCCUAAGUGUUCCAGAAGUUUCCUUCCAGCCUCAAGCAUACCCCUCUUUCCACGCAGGAGGUGGACUUGUCUGCCGGGCCAUUUCCUUCCCACCUAAGCUCCUGCCAGAUGGCUCCCAGUUGCUGUGUUUGAGCCCAGGCUGACCACUUCCUAGGCAGUGGCGUUGGAGAUGGGUGUGGCCUUGCCUCCAGGAUCUCCUCACAGCUUGUGCUUCCUGACAGCUGUGGACACUUGGGCUGACUGCAGACCUCCCGCUACCCUGAUUUCCAGCAAGAAAGAACUAUUCCUUCCAGCCCAGAACACUGUCUCUGAACAGCAAGAUGGCUUUGAAACGCUUUCACAACGAAGGUGUGCUCCACUGGGCACCACAACAUACGGUUCAGACGUUUAAAGCCUGUCUCAGCCCAAUUUCCUCUCCAUUUGCUCCCUGGGUAAGGUAUCCCCCCUUCAGUGCAGGCAGAACUGGCGACUUGCUUCUAAUCAACAAAAUAUGGCAAAGGUAAGAAAUUGCUGCCUCCAUGAUUAGGUUGUUUAACAGUGUGACUUCCAUCUUGCUAGCAGACUGUCCCUUUGAUGAAUCAAGUGACCACAUUUUGGAGAUACUUGUGUAGCAAGAAACUGAUGGUGGCUUCUGUCCAACAGCAAGCAAAGAAAUAAAUCCUGCUGACAAUCAAGUAAGAAAGCUUGAAGUUGGAUUUUUCCCCAGUCAAACCUUCAGAGGAGAUGCAGCCCUGGCUGACACCAUGUUUGUAGAGACCCCAGUGCAGAGGAUCCAGAUAAGCUGCCCCUGUAUUUCUGACCCAUAGAAACUGAGA
rnacentral:lncRNA from 1 species